AUACGGGGGGUGCAAGCGUUGUCCGGAAUCAUUGGGCGUAAAGGGUUCGUAGGUGGAAUUAUAAGUCUGGUGUGAAAGCCCACAGCUCAACUGUGGAACUGCACUGGAUACUGUUUUUCUUGAGUUAUAGAGGGGUUUGUGGAAUUUCUGGUGUAGAGGUGAAAUUUGUAGAGAUCAGAAAGAACACCGGUGGCGAAGGCGACAAACUGGCUAUUAACUGACACUGAGAAACGAAAGCGUGGGGAGCGAACAGGAUUAGAAACCCCAGUAGUCC
rnacentral:rRNA from 1 species